rnacentral:lncRNA from 1 species
AACACUACAACAUCUACACCACUAACAACAUCAUCUCUUCACUCUCUUUUCUUUGCUACUACAACCAUAUUUUUCUCCUCACCAUAACUAAACCUUCAUCCUCUUUCAUCUCACCAUCUUCCAACCACUUCAUAAACACCACAACACACUAAACUCUCUAUAAAAUUACAUCACACCAUCCAAAUGUUUUUCAUGAAAACCAUAUCUUAAACACCA